GGCAGAGUCCCUCUCCUGCCACCGAGUCCAGGGGCUCAGAACAAAGACCCUGAGGCCCGGCUCGGGCUCCCGAACUGCCGACAAGGUGCGGCCUCGAUGCCAGAGGGUGCUGUGGGGCCUCCUGUCUCCUGCAUUCGGAGGCCGCUCGCCUUGCCCCUCAGGUCAGAUGCAAGACCCAUGUUUCAGCUCCAGCCAGCCCACUCCCUGCUGAGGCAGAGGCUAGGAGGCUCUUCCCUUCUUCCUUGCACAGCGGGGCUCCUUGCAGCACACGAAGGGCACGGGGCACACGUCCCUCCCCUCCCGCUCCCUGUGCUGACCCAGGAGGACACCGAGCCCUUUCUGGGAGGACAGCGUUCAGUGGGGCUUCGUCGCUGUGCUGUGGACGGCAGCGAGCACUUCCGGCUCAACAUUUCUCCCCCUCAGCGGACACACCAGACCUGUUCUUGUCACCAACGAUCUGUCUGACCCGAAAGGCACUCCAGGAUGAAUGUGUCCACCCUUCAGAGUCUAAAAGAACUCUGCUGCUUCCAACGCCUGCCGUGUUACUUCAUUCGUAAUCCAUAACAUCCUUCCUGUUGUGGGGUCAGAAGGGACCCCUCGGAGGGUGACAAGAUCCAGGCCCUUUUUAGAGGGUGGAAAAUGCAGGCUCUGUGUGGCUGAGGGCAGCAAACAACGUCCAGGCAACUUGGUAAUUUGAAGCUGACAGCCUGUGGUUUCACACCCAGUCUGUGCAGGCCACCACCCGCCUCAAGUGUCCCUUCGAGUGGGUGACUUCCCCGAACAAGCUGCUCUGGAAAGUUCCCCAGAGCCCACAAGGCCAAACCUAACAAGCCCAAUCAAGUGUGGACCCUGAGGGGUGGAGGUGAGACCCCCACUGUAUAAAAGAGGACUCGAGGGUGACAGCUCUGAGCACACCACUCCUUCUGGGGCGGCUUUGUCCUGCUUCCUACAACACCUACAAUAAAAUCUCUUCACUGUGCUCUGUUCUCCGACUCCUCUUCCGCUUUCUGUGUCAGAGAGAGACAGGCCCAGCAACGGUGAGUCUGGGGACCCCUACACCCCCGACCCACCAGAUUUAACAAUGUGUUCAUUCUAUAUCUGUUUGAGAGUCAUGAUUUUUAUUGUUUUGAAAACUAUCUGAAGGUGCUAGAUAGAGGGAAGGGCCCACCACUAAAACAAUAUUUCCCGGGGUUGCCUUGGCUUCAUCAAAUGUUUAUGUUUCAAAGUUGUAAGGGCCGGGGAUGUAGCUCAGUGGCACUAAGCCUGCCUUGCAAGUGCAAGGUCCUGAGUUCAAUCCCUGGUACCAAAAAUCAAUUAAAAAGUUGUAUGGCACUGUGUUUAAGAGGGACAGUCGGAGCUUCUGUUUACAUCCUGGGUGACUUGGUGUCCAGUACCCACUCAGAUGCCUCCUUGGCAUGAGGGAGACCAAUGUUAAUUAGGCUACCACGGCAUAGUGAUGACAAGAGUGACUGUGGACGCCGGGUGGCUCAUUGGCACCUGCCCUGUUGCCGCGAGGCAGCCCCGGGCUGAUUUCCUGCAUGGCUCGGCAGUCUGAAGUCUUCUGUACUCAUGCAGGGGCUGCUCAAGUGGCUCCUUCUGCAGGACAGAAAUCUGCCGAGCUCUGUACAGAGGGCUCAGGAAAAGCAGGAACUGUUCAUUGGUCCCCAUCGCUGCUGUACCGAUUUGCCACAAACUUUGUGAUACUUCAAACAACACAGCUUCAGCUCAGGCCCUGAAAGCCACUGGAAGGGGUAGCAGGAGCCAAGACAUAGACUCGAAGUUAUGAGUCUAUCGACAAAUGAAUUGAAAGAGAAAAUGCGGUCUCUAUACUAGCGGACUGGCACUCAGCCGUAGGAAAGCAUGACGUCCUGUCAUUUGUGGCCACAUGGAUGAGAACGGAGGGCAUUAUGAAUAGGCCGAAAGACAGAUAGGUGUGUUCUCACUCAUGUGUGGAUGCUAAAAAGAUGAUGAGGGAGAAGUAGAGAAUAGAAUUCUGGUGUCUGCAGGCUGGAAAGGAGAGAGGGGCGUGACAGUGCAUCAGUCAGCUUCGCAGUGUGACAGGAUCCGAAAUUACUGUGGCUCGUGUUUCAGAGGCUGCAGCUUCAGGGCUGUGGUGUGGAGCUUCUCGAGGCAGGGAGUGCGGGUGCAGCUGCCUGCUCCCCUUAUGUUGGCUCAGAAGCAAAGACAAGCAAGAAGGGACUGCCCCAGUUUCCCUGCAGGACACACGCGCCCUCGUGUCCUCCAGCACCUCCGGCUUCUCUGAGUCCUUGGCCCUGGCCCUCUCUCCAUGGCUCCCCACUCCACCUGUGCUUUGUCCUCCCGCCUCCUCCUUCUGUUCUUGCCCUUCUUGCCUUAAAUCAUGUCAGGAUUCUCUCGUGUUAUUGAGCCACCUGGGGACCCUGGAGCGUUGUCACGCCCGAAGAACUUUGACACAGGUUACACAAUCACAGGUUCCGGGGCAGGAUGUCGCUGCCUUUAUAGGCCAUCACUCUGUCCAAACUCCUGGGAGACAGACGCCAGCAGCGUGGAGAGUAGACCUCGCCUAAUCCACUGCCAUGGAUGAGUUCAUCUCGGCCUUCCCGACAAAUUUGUCGCAAAGGAAUUUUCAGCAAUUGGCUGCCGAUUUCGUGCCUUAGUAUGCUACCUUAAUCAGUGAGACCGGAGGCAUCUUCCCUCCAGAAGCCCUGGCCAGAAUCCAAGCGGCUUUCAAGGAGGGGAAUCUACAGGCUGUGGUGGACCUGAUCCAAGAAAUACUCGGUGCGGCAGAAAAUGCGGUCCUGGAGCUGGCUGUGAUCGGGGAGUCCGGGACCGGCAAGUCCAGCUUCAUCAACGCCCUGAGAGGGCUUGCUCACGGCGAGGAGGGGGCAGCCGAUGUGGGGGUCGUGGAGACCACCAUGAAGAAGACCCCCUAUCAACACCCAAAAUAUCCCAACGUGACCUUCUGGGACCUGCCUGGAACCGGGACGGCCAGAUUCGCCCCGGACACCUACCUGGAGACAGUGGGGUUCGCCAGCUUUGACUUCUUCAUCAUCAUCUCCUCCUCCCGCUUCAGCCUCAGUGAUGCUCUCCUGGCCCAGAAAAUCAAGGAAUUGGGGAAGAAAUUCUACUUUGUUAGAGCCAAGGUGGACAGCGAUUUAGAUAACGAACAGAAAGCCAAACCCCAGUCCUUCAAGAGGGAGAGAGUUCUCCAGCACAUCCGAGACUACUGCCUGGCUAACCUCAGCGACAUAGGAUUGCCUGAUGCUCGCGUCUUCUUGGUCUCCAACUUUGAUCUGUGUGACUUCGACUUCCCCCUCCUGGAGACGACUCUGCUGGCGGAGCUUCCUGCUCACAAGCGCCAAGCCUUCGCACUCAUGUUGCCCACGCUGUCCGAUGCUUCUGUCGAGCUGAAGAGAGGUUUCCUCAGGGAGAAGAUCUGGCUGGAUGCUGUGAAGUCCUCGGCUUUGGCCUUCAUCCCCUUUGCACCCAUCGUCAAAGGCUUUGAUUUGCCUGAGCAGGAAGCGUGCCUGAAGCUCUACCGAAGCUAUUUCGGUCUGGAUGAUGAGUCGAUUGAAGAGAUUGCUGAGAAGCUGGGCACUUCUGUGCAGGAUAUCAAGGGCUACACCAAGUGCUUGGAUUUCUGGCCCCUUGUGAAGGAUGACAGUAUAGUAGCAAAGGCCAUGCACUGUGUCAAAACCUUCUGCUCAGUGAAUGGAGGUCUCGCAUCUGUUGCCUGCCAGUUUCUGAAAAUCUGCUUUCUACGUUUGAAAUUCCUCGAUACAGUGGCUGAUGAUGCUAAACUUCUCUUGCGCAAGAUUAUAAGCGCUCAAGCCUGAGUGAAUGAGGUAGAAGAACUGCGCCUGGCCUCAAAGAGCUGGAAAUGGACCGCAGGCCUUGCAUUGGAAGGGAUGGUGGGCUUCCUGCCAGUCCUGAGCCAGUGUCCCCCAGGGUAGAAGAAGUGUCUGUCCAGCCAUAGCUGCAUGUGGUACCUCACUGCUGUGCAAAUAUAGCUUGGCCAUAGCCUGUUUUCUGAAGAUAUUGAUCUAUUUUGAUUGAAUCCUGACACUACCAUAGUAUCUAUCAGCUUUCAGGUAAUCACAUGUGAGGUAGUCUGCUAAUUUCCAUUAUUUCUUCUGAUAGAAAACAUUUUGUAAUAAUCACAAUAAAUAUUAUAGUCAUUUUAUUAUUUUUAUUUAUAUUUUUAUUUCAUUUUGUUAUUUUUAUUAUUUUUCUCUCUAUUGCCAUUUCAGUACCUUCUUCACCAAAAUAAGAGAAGAUCCACAAAUAUGGACACAUGGUUAAAUGAAUAGUAAAAAUAAGUGUUUUGGGAAAAUGCAGCAGGACCUGGAGGGAGGAGGCCGAGAGAGGAUUAGAGAAAUGGUCUUGGAUAUCACAUGUUCAGACCCUCGGUUUUGUCUCUAGGAAUUUCUCAACACUGGAUAGGCUGAAAGUCCAAUGGAUGAGGCAAAAUGAAGAACAGGAGAUGGGAGAGUGAAAGUGAAUUGAACUGCAUUAAGAAGGAAAGUUGGUUGCUCUUACUCAAGUCUUUACCUCAAACCUCUGAAAUGGGAUAAUCAAAUGGACCUGACUCAAUGUUUGGGGCCUGGGAGACCACCCUGUUGAUUAUGUCCAAAGCAGGCUAUAAGCAAUGCAGGCUAUAAAGAGUUAACCCUGCCAUUGGCUUGCUUUAAGACGUGAGUCCAAACAAAGCCUACAUUACUCAGCCAAGGUCAGAGUGACUUGCAUCCAAUUUCUGUUCCCAAAAUUAAAACCUUCGUAACUAAAAAGACAAGGUUGUUAACUACAACCUAUAUCUUGUCUGCUCUGUUCCACCCACAAAAUAUAAGCCUUGCCUGCAUCAGCAACGUAUCCCUAGCAACCACAUGUAGCCCCCUUCCCCCAAUUAACAAUGAUUGUGUCACCAAUAAAUAUCGACGGUUCUGGC